UAAUACUCCAUAGUUCGUUAUUACUGGAAUGUUUUUCGAACGAAAGAUCCGUCGCUUCAGGAUGAGUCUGCGGCCGAUUAGGUAGUUGUUGGGGUAAUUGCCCAACAAGCCUGUAAUCGGUACGGGUUGUGGGAGCAAGAGCCCGGAGAUGGAUUCUGAGACACGAAUCCAGGCCCUACGGGGCGCAGCAGGCGCGAAAACUUUACCAUGCGGGCAACCGUGAUAAGGAAACCCCGAGUGCCAGCACAGGCUGGCUGUCCGCCAGUUUAAACAACUGGCGAAGAAAGGGCCGGGCAAGACCGGUGCCAGCCGCCGCGGUAAUACCGGCGGCUCGAGUGGUGGCCGCUAUUACUGGGCUUAAGGGGUCCGUAGCUUGAUAAUAGGGUCCCUUGAGAAAUCCGCCGGCUUAACUGGCGGGCGUUCAGGGGAAACUUGUUUUCUAGGGACCGGGAGAGGUGAGGGGUACUGCCGGGGUAGGAGUGAAAUCCUGUAAUCCCGGUGGGACCACCUAUGGCGAAGGCAUCUCACCAGAACGGGUCCGACAGUGAGGGACGAAAGCUGGGGGAGCAAACCGGAUUAGAUACCCGGGUAGUCCCAGCUGUAAACUAUGUGCGUUAGGUGUGU
rnacentral:rRNA from 1 species